rnacentral:rRNA from 1 species
UACGUAGGUGGCAAGCGUUGUCCGGAAUUAUUGGGCGUAAAGCGCGCGCAGGUGGUUUCUUAAGUCUGAUGUGAAAGCCCACGGCUCAACCGUGGAGGGUCAUUGGAAACUGGGGAACUUGAGUGCAGGAGAGAAGAGUGGAAUUCCACGUGUAGCGGUGAAAUGCGUAGAUAUCGGGAGGAACACCAGUGGCGAAGGCGAUCACCUGGGGUUGUUCUGACGCUGAGGAGCGAAAGCUAGGGGAGCAACGGG